CAUUUGUUGUGCAGAUGGCGUCCUGUGUUUUUGUUUGUCGUUAGUUUUGUUUCACGUGCAAUUCUGUGCAGAUUGCUGGGCCAGUGCUGAAGUGUCAGUGCUGAAGCCUGAUGUGUUAUGUUCGCUGCUGUGCUGUGUGUAAUGUGAUGGAGUUCUGUGGGGGCUGGGGGGUUGUGGAAUAGUAACCCCGCACACACACACUCA